UUUUUCUACUUUUUCUAAUGUUAGUACUGAAUACGUGCUUCACACACACGUAUUGGCGGGAAUUGUAUUUAACUUUACGUCAUCAACCGUACACCUAAAUUUUUUAGAUCCCCUUCCUGUAUCCCGUGAAUUAUUUCAAAAUUUUAUUCUAAUUCUUUGGUAUGGUAAUAAAAUUAUACAUUUACCCCCUCUUUUCCCUAUUUUUCAGAUGUGUGAAAAAUACAUGUGAAAAAUAGGGAAAAGAGGGGGUAAAGUCUGUGCUACGAACGUACGAAGUAAAGACAGAUAUCAUCGCCAUAAGGCUGAGAGAAAUCUGGUAGGCGAUGCUCGGUCUUAACCGCUAGGGGCAUGGCGUACGUAUUAGACAAAUUUUUCAGCUUUUUCACAUUUUAGUACUGAAUACGUGCUUCACACGGCAUGCACUCUUUUGGGCGAGUUACCAAAAGGACUCCAGGGUAAACGACUUUUGGUUGCAGGUUUCCGACACUUGGACAUCUGGCACACGACGCCAGGACAUCUGCCCAUCGACUUUAGGACUAGUGGUUCCCGACAUUUGGACACACAACAAAAUGUUGCUGAACCCAAUUAGCAGAAUACUCGACCAGUACUCAGCGACGAAAAGACUUCCAGUUAAACGACGAGUGGACUCCCAUGCAAUCGACGUUCGAACUCCCGGGAACUCCUCAUCCAGCGACAAAAGGACUCCCAAUCCAGUGACGCACGGAUUUGCUUAUUUGUUGCAGCUGAAGGAUCGUUAAGAACAUAGGUAUUUUUAAUUGACUAUGAUUAUUGUAUAGAUAUUUGUGCUUACAUUUAUCGGCUGGAUAACUUAUUUAUUUUUAUUAUAGAAGGAAAGUUUAAUUACAAUUAUGUAAAUAUUGUACUCUGAAAUGGAACGAACAUGGGUAACCAUGUUUGUUCCAGUCAGACUUCUUUCCCUUCUUGCAUUCUGAAAUGGAACGAACAUGGGUAACCAUGUUUGUUCCACUCAGACUUUUGACCCUUCUUGUAUUCUGAAAUGGAACGAACAUGGGUAACUAUGUUUGUUCCAGUCAGACUUCUGACCCUUCUUGUAUUCUGAAAUGGAACGAAUAUGGGUAACCAUGUUUGUUCCAGUCAGACUUCAGAACACAAACAGAUUGUAGUUCAAAUGUUAAUGUAUUAAACAACAUAAAUACAAAAUUCUUCGUUCA